rnacentral:sRNA from 1 species
UGCCACUGCUCUUCUGGAGCCUGCAGCAUGGGGCCCCUGCCGCGCACCGUGGAGCUCUUCUAUGACGUGCUGUCCCCCUACUCCUGGCUGGGCUUCGAGAUCCUGUGCCGGUAUCAAAAUAUCUGGAACAUCAACCUGCAGUUGCGGCCCAGCCUCAUAACAGGAAUCAUGAAAGACAGUGGAAACAAGCCUCCGGGUCUGCUUCCCCGCAAAGGACAAUACAUGGCAAAUGACUUAAAGCUCCUGAGACACCAUCUCCAGAUUCCCAUCCAUUUCCCCAAGGAUUUCUUGUCUGUGAUGCUUGAAAAAGGUGAAGAGAGUGGGAUGUAGACAGGGUAUCCAGUGAAGAACAGAGAAGUCGGAGAUUGAGGGAUUGAUGGGAUGGAGGGGCUGCGGGAGACUAAAGCAAGUGAAGCCUGCCUUGGGAAACCUCAGGAUCAGCGUUGAGGGAGCUGAAGGUUGCCGGGCAUGAAAGGGAAGAAGAGCAGGCAAAUAGGUCAUGGGAACCUUGGGUGAGAGGCUGAGGGCGAAGGAGCUCUGGGGGAUGUCAGAAGCAAGGAAGAGCUAGUUCUCCACCAGGAAAGCAGCAAGAGGAGCCCUGCCUCUGGGUGCCUCUGCCCCACAGGAAGUUUGUCUGCCAUGCGUUUCCUCACCGCCUUGAACUUGGAGCAUCCAGAGAUGCUGGAGAAAGCGUCCCGGGAGCUGUGGAUGCGCGUCUGGUCAAGGAAUGAAGACAUCACCGAGCCCCAGAGCAUCCUGGCGGCUGCAGAGAAGGCUGGUAUGUCUGCAGAACAAGCCCAGGGACUUCUGGAAAAGAUGUCAACACCAAAGGUGAAGAACCAGCUCAAGGAGACCACCGAGGCAGCCUGCAGAUAUGGGGCCUUUGGGCUGCCCAUCACCGUGGCCCAUGUGGAUGGCCAAACCCACAUGUUAUUUGGCUCUGACCGGAUGGAGCUGCUGGCGCACCUGCUGGGAGAGAAGUGGAUGGGCCCUGUACCUCCAGCUGUGAAUGCCAGACUUUAAGAUUGCCCGGAGGAAGCAAACUCUUCAUAUAAAAGAAGCAGGCCAUCUGCUUAACCCUUGGGUCCACCAUAAGGCACUGGGACUUGGAUUUCUCUAUCUGAUAGAGAAACUCCCCUGGUCUCUCUGUCAGCAACAGAAAACCAAGCCAGAUGGACUUUGCAACUAACCAGUUUGGGAUUUACUGUCUUCUGACCAACCACAGUGACUGAGAUGGGGCUGGGACCAGAAGCCCAGUGGGAGUGAACAGCAGAGGCAACCAGAGUCUGGCUGAGCUUGUGCCCAGAUAUUUAAACUGGGUCCAGCCACACCUGCAGAACCAGGGCAAGGCAGUACUGGGAAACUGGCUGGAGUUGCUGCGGUUUGGAAAAGUUGCACACCCUCUCAUAGAUACCUCCCUUAACCCUCAGUGCAGAUUCUGAGAAAACUCCAAGGCUUCUCUGCCUAACCUAGUAUAACCCCUGUUCCCUACUACAUACAUAUAACUUUUCCAUUCCCCCAGUAAUUGACCCAAAGUCCCUGCCUCUAGCUGUGCCCAUUGUGCAAUUAUCAGAAUCCCUUGUUUCAAUAGUAUUUUGACUUCUUUAAGAAUACUCUGUAUUUGGAAGCUGAAACCUCACCUGGAUCCAUUGUUGGGAACCAAGUACAGAGCCUUACAUAGCCCAGAGGAGUUUCAGGAACAAUGCCACUUUCCCUUCCAUCCCUCCCUCUGGGUCUGGCUCUUCCCAUAGUCCAUUUUCCCCUUUUAUCUCCCAUUAAUUUCUGUAUUCCUCUCUCACCUUUUCCAUGUCUCUAGCAUCCUCCAGGAUUUAAAAUCAUCUUUACCCAGCUUAUCUGUGAAGUAAUGGCAAAAGAACAUAUCCAAAUUAAGUACUCCUUUUCUUCAAAGGAGUUUCAUGGGAUGUACAGCUAGUAUAAAAUAAAAAUAUGGGAAGAUGUCCAAUCUUAAAAAUCAUAAGGGCAAAUUAAGACAAAACUAAGCUGCCCAGAGCAGGGUGAUUGGAACCAGUUUUAUGAAUAAAGAUGCUUGUCUCAGCACUAUUUGUGGAUAUCAAAAAUUGUGAACAACUUAAACACCUAUCAGGAGGAGAAUACUUUAAUCAAUUAUGGCACAUUCAGGAGAUAAUGUUUUACAGUCAUCAAAAAUUGUACAUGAGGGCCAGCACGGUGGCUCACACCUGUAAUCCCAGUACUUUGGGAGGCCAAGGCAAGCGGAUCACCUGAGGUCAGGAGUUCAAGACCAGCCUGGCUAACAUGGUAAAACCCUAUUUCCACUAAAAAUACAAAAAAGUAACCCGGUGUGGUGGCACGUGCCUGUAAUACCAGCUACUAGAGAGGCUGAGGCAGGAGAAUCGCUUGAACCUGGGAGGCGGAGGUUGCGGUGAGCUGAGAUUGCGCCAUUGCACUCCAGCUUGGGCAACAAGAGCGAAACUCUGUCUCAAAAAAAAAAAAACUGUAUUUCUGAAGAAUUGUUAAGAACAUUGGAAAUUCUUGAGAUAUAAUAUUGAUUGGAAAAAGAUGAAACUAUAUGGUAUGAUCUCAAUAUGUCUUGAUGAAUAAAAACAUAAUACAGAGGAUAUUAUUCUGAGAUAAAAUAUAUCAAAAUCUUUCCAUUUUAUUUGUAUACUUUUAAAAUUUUUGAUUUUUUAAAAUGUAUUCUGAUACACAAAAUAAU